rnacentral:rRNA from 1 species
UACGGGGGGGGCAAGCGUUGUUCGGAAUUACUGGGCGUAAAGGGCUCGUAGGCGGCCAACUAAGUCAGACGUGAAAUCCCCAGGCUCAACCUGGGAACUGCGUCUGAUACUGGAUGGCUUGAAUCCGGGAGAGGGAUGCAGAAUUCCAGGUGUAGCGGUGAAAUGCGUAGAUAUCUGGAGGAAUACCGGUGGCGAAGGCGGCAUCCUGGACCGGAAUUGACGCUGAGGAGCGAAAGCCAGGGGAUCAAACGGG